UUAGUGAGAAGAUGGGGGAGUUAGAACCAAAACCAUUAUUAAUUUGUUAACCUUCUUUUUCCUCAGGAAAUACUUGGAGGACACCAUGGGGAAAAGAAAUCCAGUAUCUACCCACGGAAAUACUUGGAUGACGCCAUGGGGAAGAGAAAUCGGGUAUCUACCCACGGUGAGAAUCAAUCAACAAGUAAUAAUCCUUGUUCUUAUGUCAGUUACUAUAUUAAUGAAGAAGAUACCCCUGAAAAUUCAUUCUAAGAGGGAGAACCAAAAGUAUACAAACUAAAAUAUGCCAGAGAAAUAUAGAUUAAAUAAAGAUUCUAAUCUAUAUUUAAUGUCAGAAGGCAUAAUCCUAGAGAAACAAUAAGGCUAUCAGAAGAGUAUAGGAGAGAGGUGGACAGGGUGAAAUGAUUGUUAGGGAGUGAAGAAAAGAAAAUCUGUGGAGGAAGUAAGGAAUGAAAAAGAUGCCAUGGAUGAUAUUUGAUCUAAGCAAAGGGAAGAGUUGUGGAUGACUGAGCCCGCAAACCUGGGUGACAGAAAAGGGAAUUUCAGAAGAGGGUAGAGGUAUGGGACUAAGAACAGAUUCUGUUUUGGACCAUUGAAGUUUCAGUUCAGUUGGCAUCUGGUUCAAAAUGUGGGAAUUAGGGUACAGAACUCAAGAGAGAAACUGAGGUAGCUUUAAUACAGCUGAGAGAGGUUUGUUUUUAUCUGUUUACAUUGUGAACUAGGAGAAUGAUUCUUUAAACUGUUUAUGACAUUAUCAAUCUCCUGAUAGUUAAAAAGAACAUAUAUAGUCAGAAGAUAAGGGGUGUGAGUGGAAUAUAAAAGGAUAAUAUCUUUUUUUGUUUUAAUGAUGGAAAAUUGUGAAAUAGGGAGUUAUAGGGAAAAGGGAAAAAGAGAAGUAGAAUGAUGCAAAUCUGUCAUAAGAAAAAAGGGAAGAAAAAGGAUUUUCAGUUGAGGGGAACAGGGAGAAAAGAACUUGGUUGAAUGAAUCUUAUUUCCAUCAAUAUUGGUUUAAAUAGGAGAUACCAUAAAAACUGAACAGGGAUAUUGAACUCUAUCUCAGCCUGCAGGAAAAUAAGAGGGGAAUGGAAUAAGUGAAAUGGGAAUCAUAAAAGAAUAUCUCAUUUUUGGGAAGUCAGUGAUCAAUAGUGAAAGACUGUUGAGGAGAGACAGACUAAAAACCGAGAGAAUAUAUGGGGGGAAAUACAAUUAGUAAUAGUAAAUAUAAAAACAAUUUUUGAAGCAAGUUUCUCUGAUGGGAUAUCAUUGUUCUGUAGGAAAUGAUGAGCAGAAUGUUCUCAGAGGAAAAAACAACCGGUAAAGUCCUCCAUGAACAGAGUGAAAUAUGCUUUAUCUAAAAUAACAGCAAUGUUCAAGAGUGACUAGUUGGAAAUGAUUUUGUUAAUCUCAGUAGCAGACUUAUUAACAAAAAUUCUGAACGACUUAAAUAAAAAAUCCUAUGCAUUCAAAGAAAAGGAA
rnacentral:lncRNA from 1 species